rfam:Fistulina hepatica ATCC 64428 unplaced genomic scaffold FISHEscaffold_242, whole genome shotgun sequence.
ACAUCAGUGGUGAAACGGUUAUCAUGCCUGCCUUCCAUCUUGUAUAACGAUCGGUAGUUAUUUCGGGAGCAGGCGGCGGGGGUUCAACUCCCUCUUGAUGUA